CAUAAUGAAGUUAUGUAACUUUAGCAUGAUGCCCAAUAACCAACGACUUCCCAAAUCCAGUAAUGUUGUCACAACCUAAUUCCUUUGGAUAAGAUGACCAAUGGCUUUUACAACGCCAGAACAGAUGGUGGCAGUAGUGUGCGGAUUGUGUGUGGCAGCCGGAAACAACGAGCUUGCCGAGUUCUUUGACUGAAUACAUAUCCGCGGACACUCUGAAGGCGGCAUUCAAGAUGUUUGUAGGGUCCUCACCUCAGCUACCUCUCACAAGGUGCCCCUGAAAAAGAAAUUCAAGACGUUUGGGUCCUCAGCUCAACUGACCAAGACCUUUGCUCAUUGAAGGCAUGAAGUAAUUUGUGAUGCCCCCACGAUUGCAGUUUUUAAACGCAGAUGGCUUGCUCUUUUUAACAUGUGCGAGAGCUGGAUGGUCUUUCAACAACACUGCUCCGGGUCUUCAGCAAGAAAGGUGCUUCUCAUGCAAGGAAGAUACAGAGGAUCCUGGUGCCCAUGACUCAGACUGACAACAUUGAUGUGAAGAGGGAGUGCAUGCUGAGGAGCUGACGGUCUACCUGAAUGAAGAGCCAGACAAAGUGGAUGUUGAUCUGGACGGUCCAGCUGAAACGUAUUGUCUUCGUGUGCGUGUGAUCGGCAGAGAGUCCUCAACGACAUUGGUAACGUACCUGUGGCCAUUGCAGUGUUUGUUUUGGUUUAUGCUCUUAAUCUCUGUUACCUUCCAGAAUGGAAGUACACUUUCAAAUUUCUGUUUCAUUCUAACCGUCUGUUUCAUCAGUUUUUGCACUGCUUUUAAAUGUACACUGUGUAAGAUUCUUAGUUGUUUAUUUCCAGAAUUCAUGCUACCCAUUCACUAAUGUUACCUUUUUCAUGAAUACUUAGCACCACCAUUAGGGUGCAUCAGUUGCCCCCUAUGAAAAGAUAUGGCCUUGGCCCUAUAGUAAAAAUGUUCUACACCCA